CAGGAUGAUGACAGUGAAAUCAGUGGCUCUCGCCUGGUGAUCUUGCUGAUAUCAAUGCUCUUUAGUCCUCACUUUAUAGUUGAAGAAAUGCAUUCGUCUUGAUUUCACGGUCAUCACCCAUCUGCAAACUUGUAUUACAUGUUCAAUGAGCGCCCAUUUGGUUUUCAUCGAGCAUCGCAGUUUCAAGUCUCUGCCUUUUGAUAAAGGUCAUCUCCUCUAUUGUAUUCAUCCUCAUGCAACCUCUAUUACAUGCUUUUAUGAGGAUUACAUCAUCGGGUAGUAAUUUUAAAUCUUCUGCACCAUUUAGAAGAUCUAGAGCACGAAUAUGAGAAGAAAUGCGGAAUACUAGUACCAUCUGUAGAAUUUGCAGAAAAAUCUGUCAUGACAAAAGUUCUGGUUUUCGGGGGGAAAAGCCAGCUAGUCAGCGUGUAGAUUUUAAUUAUUUUAUUUUAUUUUUAUCCACUAUGUUUGUAUAUGUGGAGAAGAAUCUGUGUAUCCGAUGGUGAUUUCAGUAUUAUCAACUGAACGAUUUUAGCAGUGCGCAUGCUGCGUCAAUGCAUAUAACAUUUGUGAAAUCUUUUAAUUGAUAAUGGAGAGAUCCAUCUGGUCCGUCCUUUUUUUGUAAA